ACUCCUGCGGGAGGCAGCAGUGGGGAAUAUUGCACAAUGGGCGCAAGCCUGAUGCAGCCAUGCCGCGUGUAUGAAGAAGGCCUUCGGGUUGUAAAGUACUUUCAGCGGGGAGGAAGGCGAUAAGGUUAAUAACCUUGUCGAUUGACGUUACCCGCAGAAGAAGCACCGGCUAACUCCGUGCCAGCAGCCGCGGUAAUACGGAGGGUGCAAGCGUUAAUCGGAAUUACUGGGCGUAAAGCGCACGCAGGCGGUCUGUCAAGUCGGAUGUGAAAUCCCCGGGCUCAACCUGGGAACUGCAUUCGAAACUGGCAGGCUAGAGUCUUGUAGAGGGGGGUAGAAUUCCAGGUGUAGCGGUGAAAUGCGUAGAGAUCUGGAGGAAUACCGGUGGCGAAGGCGGCCCCCUGGACAAAGACUGACGCUCAGGUGCGAAAGCGUGGGGAGCAAACAGGAUUAGAAACCCUAGUAGUCCCAUGAU
rnacentral:rRNA from 1 species